rnacentral:rRNA from 1 species
GACGAACGCUGGCGGCGUGCUUAACACAUGCAAGUCGAACGGAAAGGCCCUGCUUUUGUGGGGUGCUCGAGUGGCGAACGGGUGAGUAACACGUGAGUAACCUGCCCUUGACUUUGGGAUAACUUCAGGAAACUGGGGCUAAUACCGGAUAGGAGCUCCUGCUGCAUGGUGGGGGUUGGAAAGUUUCGGCGGUUGGGGAUGGACUCGCGGCUUAUCAGCUUGUUGGUGGGGUAGUGGCUUACCAAGGCUUUGACGGGUAGCCGGCCUGAGAGGGUGACCGGCCACAUUGGGACUGAGAUACGGCCCAGACUCCUACGGGAGGCAGCAGUGGGGAAUAUUGCACAAUGGGCGGAAGCCUGAUGCAGCAACGCCGCGUGCGGGAUGACGGCCUUCGGGUUGUAAACCGCUUUCGCCUGUGACGAAGCGUGAGUGACGGUAAUGGGUAAAGAAGCACCGGCUAACUACGUGCCAGCAGCCGCGGUGAUACGUAGGGUGCGAGCGUUGUCCGGAUUUAUUGGGCGUGAAGGGCUCGUAGGUGGUUGAUCGCGUCGGAAGUGUAAUCUUGGGGCUUAACCCUGAGCGUGCUUUCGAUACGGGUUGACUUGAGGAAGGUAGGGGAGAAUGGAAUUCCUGGUGGAGCGGUGGAAUGCGCAGAUAUCAGGAGGAACACCAGUGGCGAAGGCGGUUCUCUGGGCCUUUCCUGACGCUGAGGAGCGAAAGCGUGGGGAGCGAACAGGCUUAGAUACCCUGGUAGUCCACGCUGUAAACGGUGGGUACUAGGUGUGGGGUCCAUUCCACGGGUUCCGUGCCGUAGCUAACGCUUUAAGUACCCCGCCUGGGGAGUACGGCCGCAAGGCUAAAACUCAAAGGAAUUGACGGGGCCCCGCACAAGCGGCGGAGCAUGCGGAUUAAUUCGAUGCAACGCGUAGAACCUUACCUGGGUUUGACAUGGAUCGGGAGUGCUCAGAGAUGGGUGUGCCUCUUUUGGGGUCGGUUCACAGGUGGUGCAUGGCUGUCGUCAGCUCGUGUCGUGAGAUGUUGGGUUAGGUCCCGCAACGGGCGCAACCCUUGUUCACUGUUGCCAGCACGUUAUGGUGGGGACUCAGUGGAGACCGCCGGGGCCAACUCGGAGGAAGGUGGGGAUGACGUCAAGUCAUCAUGCCCCUUAUGUCCAGGGCUUCACGCAUGCUACAAUGGCUGGUACAGAGAGUGGCGAGCCUGUGAGGGUGAGCGAAUCUCGGAAAGCCGGUCUCAGUUCGGAUUGGGGUCUGCAACUCGACCACAUGAAGUCGGAGUCGCUAGUAAUCGCAGAUCAGCAACGCUGCGGUGAAUACGUUCCCGGGGCUUGUACACACCGCCCGUCAAGUCAUGAAAGUUGGUGACACCCGAAGCCGGUGGCCUAACCGUUGUGGGGGAGCCGUCGAAGGUGGGACUGGUGAUUAGGACUAAGUCGUAACAAGGUAGCCGUACCGGA